rnacentral:tRNA from 1 species
GACCUUGUAGCGUAAUGGUAGCACUUCUGACUCGAUCAGAAGUUUGUGUGUUCAGUUCACGUCAGGGUCA